rnacentral:rRNA from 1 species
UACGAAGGGGGCUAGCGUUGCUCGGAAUCACUGGGCGUAAAGCGCACGUAGGCGGAUUGUUAAGUCAGGGGUGAAAUCCUGGAGCUCAACUCCAGAACUGCCUUUGAUACUGGCGAUCUCGAGUCCGGGAGAGGUGAGUGGAACUGCGAGUGUAGAGGUGAAAUUCGUAGAUAUUCGCAAGAACACCAGUGGCGAAGGCGGCUCACUGGCCCGGUACUGACGCUGAGGUGCGAAAGCGUGGGGAGCGAACCGGGAU